UACGUAGGGGGCAAGCGUUGUCCGGAUUCAUUGGGCGUAAAGAGCGUGUAGGCGGCCAGGUAGGUCGGUUGUGAAAACUGGAGGCUCAACCUUCAGAGGUCGACCGAAACCAUCUGGCUAGAGUCCGGGAGAGGAGAGUGGAAUUCCUGGUGUAGCGGUGAAAUGCGCAGAUAUCAGGAGGAACUCCUAUUGCGAAGGCAGCUCGCUGGGACGUAACUGACGCUGAGACGCGAAAGCGUGGGGAGCAAACAGG
rnacentral:rRNA from 1 species